AAGACUAUACUUUAGGGAUCAUUUCUAUAGUUCAUCACUAGAGAUUUCUCUGAAUGUGUGGAGCACCCAAAACCAUGAGGAGGGGGCACAGUGUUCUGUCCUGACCAUGAGGCUGACUUUUGGUGUUGCUUUUGCAACUGCUAAUAGCCAUUGAUGAUCGCUCUUCUCUUCCUUUGGAGGAGUAAGAGGGAGAGGAUGCAGUCUGAGUGGG